rnacentral:rRNA from 1 species
GAUGAACGCUGACCGAAUGCUUAACACAUGCAAGUCUUUGGCGAAGCUGUGCUUGCACCGCCUAGCCAAGGCGGACGGGUGAGUAACGCGUAAGGAACUUGCCCUGCAGUCAGGGAUAACAGACGGAAACGACUGAUAAGACCUGGUAAAGUCAGGCGGACUCAUGUCCAGCCUGAUGAAAAGAGAUGCUGCAGGAGAGCCUUGCGUCCUAUUAGCUUGUUGGUGGGGUAACGGCCCACCAAGGCGAUGAUAGGUAGCCGGCCUGAGAGGGUGGACGGCCACAAGGGGACUGAGAUACGGCCCUUACUCCUACGGGAGGCAGCAGUGGGGAAUAUUGGACAAUGGGGGCAACCCUGAUCCAGCAAUUCUGUGUGCACGAUGAAGGUUUUCGGAUUGUAAAGUGCUUUCAGCAGGGAAGAAAAAAUGACGGUACCUGCAGAAGAAGCGACGGCUAAAUACGUG